rnacentral:rRNA from 1 species
UGGGGAAUAUUGGACAAUGGGCGAAAGCCUGAUCCAGCCAUGCCGCGUGAGUGAUGAAGGCCCUAGGGUUGUAAAGCUCUUUUGUGCGGGAAGAUAAUGACGGUACCGCAAGAAUAAGCCCCGGCUAACUUCGUGCCAGCAGCCGCGGUAAUACGAAGGGGGCUAGCGUUGCUCGGAAUCACUGGGCGUAAAGGGUGCGUAGGCGGGUUUCUAAGUCAGAGGUGAAAGCCUGGAGCUCAACUCCAGAACUGCCUUUGAUACUGGAAGUCUCGAGUUCGGGAGAGUUGAGUGGAACUGCGAGUGUAGAGGUGAAAUUCGUAGAUAUUCGCAAGAACACCAGUGGCGAAGGCGGCUCACUGACCCGAUACUGACGCUGAGGUGCGAAAGCGUGGGGAGCAAACA